rnacentral:rRNA from 1 species
GCCGUCCUUGAAAUACCACCCUUUAAUGGCUGGUGUUCUAACGUUGGCCCCUUACCGGGGUUGCGGACAGUGUCUGGUGGGUAGUUUGACUGGGGCGGUCUCCUCCUAAAGAGUAACGGAGGAGCACGAAGGUUGGCUAAUCCUGGUCGGACAUCAGGAGGUUAGUGCAAUGGCAUAAGCCAGCUUGACUGCGAGCGUGACGGCGCGAGCAGGUGCGAAAGCAGGUCAUAGUGAUCCGGUGGUUCUGAAUGGAAGGGCCAUCGCUCAACGGAUAAAAGGUACUCCGGGGAUAACAGGCUGAUACCGCCCAAGAGUUCAUAUCGACGGCGGUGUUUGGCACCUCGAUGUCGGCUCAUCACAUCCUGGGGCUGAAGUAGGUCCCAAGGGUAUGGCUGUUCGCCAUUUAAAGUGGUACGCGAGCUGGGUUUAGAACGUCGUGAGACAGUUCGGUCCCUAUCUGCCGUGGGCGCUGGAGAACUGAGGGGGGCUGCUCCUAGUACGAGAGGACCGGAGUGGACGCAUCACUGGUGUUCGGGUUGUCAUGCCAAUGGCACUGCCCGGUAGCUAAAUGCGGAAGAGAUAAGUGCUGAAAGCAUCUAAGCACGAAACUUGCCCCGAGAUGAGUUCUCCCUGAGACCUGGAGUCUCCUGAAGGAACGUUGAAGACGACGACGUUGAUAGGCCGGGUGUGUAAGCGCAGCGAUGCGUUGAGCUAACCGGUACUAAUGAACCGUGAGGCUUAACCUUACAACGCCGAAGGUGUUU